CAUGCACUGGUGGGGUCCCUCGGCCUGGCCUGCACCCUCUCGCAAUCCGUGACCCCUCAGGGCAUAUUGGAGAGCCAGUUUAUGCCCCAUCCCGCAGGCCAGGCCGAGGGACCCCACUGGUGCAUG
rnacentral:pre_miRNA from 1 species